AUUGAACGCUGGCGGCAGGCUUAACACAUGCAAGUCGAACGAGUGGCGGACGGGUGAGUAAUGCUUGGGACUCUGGCUUAUGGAGGGGGAUAACGACGGGAAACUGUCGCUAAUACCGCGUACCAUAGGAUGAGCCCAAGUGGGAUUAGGUAGUUGGUGGGGUAAGGGCCUACCAAGCCGACGAUCUCUAGCUGGUCUGAGAGGAUGACCGGCCAAACGGGGAUGGAGACAGGGCCCGAACUCCAAGGGGGGGAAGCAGGGGGGAAAAUUGCGAAAGGGGGGAAACCUGACGCAGCCUGGCGGGGUGAAUGAGGAAGGCCUUGGGGUUGAAAAGUUUUUUCGGUGACAAGGGGUUAAUCACAGAAGAAGCACCGGCUAACUCCGUGCCAGAGCCGCGGUAAUUC
rnacentral:rRNA from 1 species